rfam:Triticum urartu cultivar G1812 contig205092, whole genome shotgun sequence.
AAAAAGGCCCUUUUUAGGGCCAACAAAUACUCAAUCACACAACC